rnacentral:rRNA from 1 species
GAUGAACGCUGGCGGCAGGCCUAAUACAUGCAAGUCGAACGGAUGUAGCAAUACAUUAGUGGCGCACGGGUGCCUAACGCGUGGGAACAUACCCUUGAGUAAGGAAUAAUGUCUGGAAACGGACACUAAUACCUUAUAAUGACUUCGGUCCAAAGAUUUAUCGCUCAAGGAUUGGCCCGCGUCUGAUUAGCUAGUUGGUGAGGUAACGGCUCACCAAGGCGACGAUCAGUAGCUGGUCUGAGAGGAUGAUCAGCCACACUGGGACUGAGACACGGCCCAGACUCCUACGGGAGGCAGCAGUAAGGAAUAUUGGACAAUGGGGGAAACCCUGAUCCAGCCAUGCCGCGUGAGUGAAGAAGGCCUUAGGGUUGUAAAGCUCUUUCAAUAGUGAAGAUAAUGACGGUAGCUAUAGAAGAAGCCCCGGCUAAAUUCGUGACAGCCGCCGCGGUAA